UGCCUUCUCUAAUAAGCUCUCUCAUAAGUUCUAAGUUACUUUGAAUAUUUGGAGAGAUAAACUUUCUUCUCAAACAAGCUUUCAAUUCUUUCCAAUUAUGAAUGGGAAAUUUUCUACCUAUUCUAACAUGAUAUUCUCUUUCAUCCCACCACUCUUUUGCAUACCNUUCAAAUCUAGAAAUGUAAAGAUUCAUGAUAUAUGAUUCACAGUCACGAGAAUAAUAAGAUUCAGAUUGACUUCUUCUAACCAUAAAGAAAUGCAUGUCACCAAUUUCCUUUUCCCAAGCUAAGUAAGUAAAUGCACCAAUAUCCUCACCAAAGAAAGGAAUAUUUUCCCUAGCUUGUUUAUACAAAGUAUUUUCAAUCCUA
rnacentral:lncRNA from 1 species